rnacentral:rRNA from 1 species
UACGUAGGGGGCGAGCGUUGUCCGGAAUGACUGGGCGUAAAGGGCGUGUAGGCGGUUCUAUAAGUCUGGAGUGAAAGUCCUGCAUUCAAUGUGGGAAUUGCUUUGGAGACUGUAGGGCUAGAGUGCGGAAGAGGUAAGUGGAAUUCCCAGUGUAGCGGUGAAAUGCGUAGAGAUUGGGGGGAACACCAGUGGCGAAGGCGACUUACUGGGCCGUAACUGACGCUGAGGCGCGAAAGCGUGGAGAGCGAAC